CCCAGUGACAGACGGCACCCGGAACUGACCCGGCAGCCCGACCUCCUCCGCCUCGGUCCAGGCUUGAUUUGGGGGUUAAAGGUGAUACUUUUUGAGAAAGGUAGUAAAACAUUAAUGGUGAGUAAAGUUCCUUCUCUUUUGCCCCUUAAGUUCACUGGGUGAUCCUGUUUGCUCUAUAAAGUGAACUGUAUUUGCCAAGGGUAAUUGGAACUCUGCGGCUCGAAUGACCUUGAUUUCCUCCUGCUGCUGGGCUGUUGUGUGGGGUGAGCGCUGCAAGGUGUUAUCACUCUCAAUCAAGUCCCCCUGGCAGGACAGAUGCUGCAGGUUUUGUGAGAAGCACUGGCCUCGAGACCGGAGUACCCAAAAUGUUAGCAAGACACGGACUUCCCAGGGCCUACCCCUCACCUGCAAACUCGCUGACGGUGUGCAUCACGCACGGAGGCGCCCAGUGACGUUGAAAGCUGGGGAGUCUGACUCACUUUCAUCCUUGAAGGCUCUGAUUUUGUUCCCAUCUCUUGCCCCCAGACUCUUGGGUGACCUUGGACCGUGCUUUGGAUUCGACAUCUAGAAAUGUGAUGUAUUUCUUUGUUCGUUGUCUUCCCACUGGAAUCGAAGCUCUGUGAGAGCAGGACCUUGGCCUGUUUGUUCAUUGCUGCCUUUCCAGGGCUUGGAGCAGAGCAGGUACUCAGUGCCUGUUUGUCAAAUGACCAGAUGGAGCCCAUCACCUGUCCUACACUUGUUGCCCAUUGCCUUUGAGGCACUUGCCAUCUCCCCGGGCAGACGUGGGUGUUAUGCAGCAGUCGUGAAAUAACGAGGCAACAGCGUAAGACCAACAGAGCCAGGAGCUAACACAUGGGCAAGGCGGGCACGCCUCGGCAGGAAGUCAUCGGGCUCGGACGCCCUCCUGGGCCAAGGGCUGAGGUCAGACCGGCGCCUCUGUGUCUGCUGGGCAAAGAUCAGCCCAGAAGGUCUCCUCUUCCCAACGCUGGGCAGGCUGCUGAGAGGUUGCCCAUCCGCGGAAGCACAUAGACAAGUGAGUAUCCAAGAUGGGAGCGUCUCCUGGGCCCAGGCAGGAGGCCGUUUGCUUACACGGGGCCUGAGGUUCGAAGGCAGAAAAGCACGCGCACCUCAGCAGUCACAGCUGGCGCCUGGGCGAAACUCUCUGUCUCCGCGCAGGCUGUUCACGGAGGCCUGGAGGCGCGGCGGAGACCUGGAGCAGCCAGCGGCCG